rnacentral:rRNA from 1 species
AUACGAAAGGUGCAAGCGUUGUUCGGAUUUACUGGGCGUAAAGAGAGUGUAGGUGGUUUAUUAAGUCGGAUGUGAAAUCCCGGGGCUCAACCUCGGAACUGCAUUCGAUACUGAUAGGCUAGAGUUUGGGAGGGGUAAGCGGAAUUCCGUGUGUAGCAGUGAAAUGCGUAGAUAUACGGAGGAACACCUGAGGCGAAGGGGGCUUACUGGACCAAUACUGACACUGAGACUCGAAAGCGUGGGUAGCAAACAGGAUUAGAAACCCCAGUAGUCC